rnacentral:rRNA from 1 species
AUUUUUCGACUAUGGGUGAAACCCUGAUCCAGCCAUCCCGCGUGUAUGAUGAACGCCUUCGUGUUGUAUUUUACUUUUGGCAGAGAAUAAAAGUUACCUCCUAAUACGAGGUACUGCUGACGGUAUCUCCAGAAUAAUCACCGGCUCACUACGUGCCAGCAUCAGCGGUAAUACGUAUGGUGCAAGAGUUAAUCGGAAUUACUGGGCUUCAAGCGUGCGCAGGCGGUGUUGAAAGACAGAGGUGAAAUCCCAGGGCUCAACCUUGGAACUGCAUUUUUAACUGCCGAGCUAGAGUAUGUCAGAGGGGGGUAGAAUUCCACGUGUAGCAGUGAAAUGCGUAGAUAUGUGGAGGAAUACCGAUGGCGAAGGCAGCCCCCUGGGAUAAUACUGACGCUCAGACACGAAAGCGUGGGGAGCAAACA